GGUUGACCUCGGAUCAGGANGGAUCC
rnacentral:rRNA from 1 species